rnacentral:tRNA from 1 species
UAUUAAGGUGGCAGAAUAGUGUGAAGGAUUUAAGAUUCUUUUAUGAAAAUAUGUUUUAUUUUUCCCUUAAUAA